GCCGAAUACACACUGCUCCACACUUUUCUUAUAUAUCCUCAGAUAUGUGGGGAGAGCAGGGGUUUAUUUACCUCAACAAAAGGAGAGAGUAGGUGGGGGGAAAAGUGAGAAAAGAUGUGAAAUGGCAUCAAGGACGUGGAGGAUUGCUUCCUAC
rnacentral:lncRNA from 1 species